CAGCAAGGGUCUCCAGUCCUCCCAGAGAUACCCCACCACCCUCCAUCACUACCCACAGCAAGGGUCCCCAGUCCUCCCAGAGAUACCCCACCACCCUCCAUCACCACCCACAGCAAGGGUCCCCAGUCCUCCCAGAGAUACCUCACCACCCUCCAUCACCACCCACAGCAAGGGUCCCCAGUCCUCCCAGAGAUAACCCACCACCCUCCAUCACCCCACAGUCACCACCCACAGCAAGGAUCCCCAGGCCUCCCAGAGAUACCUCACCACCCUCCAUCACCAACCACAGCAAGGAUCCCCAGGCCUCCCAGAGAUACCACUGAGAUCAGGGUCUAUACAACGUCAGAGAGAUGUCAAAGAGAUGUCUCACUGUUAUCACCCUGGGCACAGGACUGUGUUUCAGUGUGUGUUGUGUCAGUGUGUCAAUGUGUGUUGUGUCAGUGUGUGUCAGUGUGUGUUGUGUCAGUGUGUCAGUGUGUCAGUGUGUGUUGUGUCAGCGUGUGUUGUGUCAGCGUGUGUUGUGUCAGCGUGUGUUGUGUCAGCGUGUGUUGUGUCAGUGUGUGUUGUGUCAGCGUGUGUUGUGUCAGUGUGUCAGUGUGUGUUGUGUCAGUGUGUGUUGUGUCAGUGUGUGUUGUGUCAGCGUGUCAGUGUGUGUUGUGUCAGUGUGUGUUGUGUCAGUGUGUGUUGUGUCAGUGUGUGUUGUGUCAGUGUGUGUUGUGUCAGCGUGUGUUGUGUCAGCGUGUGUUGUGUCAGCGUGUGUUGUGUCAGCGUGUGUUGUGUCAGCGUGUGUUGUGUCAGCGUGUGUUGUGUCAGCGUGUGUUGUGUCAGCGUGUGUUGUGUCAGUGUGUAUUGUGUCAGUGUGUCAGUGUGUGUUGUGUCAGUGUGUGUUGUGUCAGUGUGUCAGUGUGUGUUGUGUCAGCGUGUCAGUGUGUGUUGUGUCAGUGUGUGUUGUGUCAGUGUGUGUUGUGUCAGUGUGUGUUGUGUCAGCGUGUGUUGUGUCAGCGUGUGUUGUGUCAGCGUGUGUUGUGUCAGUGUGUGUUGUGUCAGUGUGUAUUGUGUCAGUGUGUCAGUGUGUGUUGUGUCAGUGUGUGUUGUGUCAGUGUGUCAGUGUGUGUUGUGUCAGCGUGUCAGUGUGUGUUGUGUCAGCGUGUGUUGUGUCAGCGUGUGUUGUGUCAGUGUGUGUUGUGUCAGUGUGUGUUGUGUCAGUGUGUGUUGUGUCAGUGUGUCAGUGUGUGUUGUGUCAGCGUGUCAGUGUGUGUUGUGUCAGCGUGUGUUGUGUCAGUGUGUGUUGUAUCAGUGUCUGUUGUGUCAGUGUGUGUUGUGUCAGCGUGUGUUGUGUCAGAGUGUGUUGUUUCAGUGUGUGUUGUGUCAGUGUGUCAGUGUGUGUUGUGUCAGCGUGUCAGUGUGUGUUGUGUCAGCGUGUCAGUGUGUG
rnacentral:lncRNA from 1 species